rnacentral:lncRNA from 1 species
UUCUCAAUUAUAAACCACACAUAUACAACCACAAACAAAACCCGGUCCGACCAAUACCCUAAUUUUCAACUUACUUUUGUUUUAUUCCCAUGACCUUCAAAUUAUCCUGAAAACUCAAUCACACCACAAUAAGCUCGUAACCGAGUGCACUGACCGGAUUCCGAUCGUUGGCGAUGAGAGUUUUCAAGAAUCAUUAUAUCAUCGGCUACGGCGGGAAGAUUAACGUUAAUGAAAGAAGAUUAACACUCACAUAUCGAAGAUUCUGAACAUAAGUGUCCAUCUUCAUGUACCGAGCUAGGAAACCGAAGUUACAAAGUUCCCACACCAAGAUGAUUAGAGGUGAUGAGGGUGCCCAUUUGAAUUCAUAGUAAGCAACUUUUAAACUAUUUAAAUUGUUUUGCCCGUUCUUUUUUAAUUUACUUUAUACCUUAAUGAUCGGUUAAAAUUACAAGCGAAUAACACUAAGACUUCCUUAAGACUUUACAUUAUUCGUGUUAUAAUUUAUAAAUCGUUGUAAAAACGAUAAACAUUUUGAAUUUGAAUUUUCAACAACCGAUAUACAGAUUAGAGGUACGACAUUAAUAAAAAGUAUUGAUUUACCAGUGC